AUACGGGGGGAGCAAGCGUUGUCCGGAAUCACUGGGCGUAAAGCGCGCGCAGGCGGCUUGAUAAGUUGGAUGUGAAAGCCUACGGCUCAACCGUAGAACUGCAUCCAAAACUGUCAAGCUAGAGUCUGGGAGGGGAAGAUGGAAUUAGUUGUGUAGGGGUAAAAUCCGUAGAGAUAACUAGGAAUACCAAAAGCGAAGGCGAUCUUCUGGAACAGUACUGACGCUGAGGCGCGAAAGCGUGGGGAGCAAACAGGAUUAGAAACCCUAGUAGUCC
rnacentral:rRNA from 1 species